GACCGAUAGUGAACCAGUACCGUGAGGGAAAGGCGAAAAGAACCCCGGCGAGGGGAGUGAAAAAGAACCUGAAACCGUGUACGUACAAGCAGUGGGAGCCCCACCACUAAGCCAGUGGUGAACUCCACAUCCGCAUCCUUUGCUGAGGAUACGGUUAACGGAGCGAAAGCGACGUUCAACCGCAAAACAAGCAGAGGGGGCUUAGUGGUGGGGUGACUGCGUACCUUUUGUAUAAUGGGUCAGCGACUUAUAUUCUGUAGCAAGGUUAACCGAAUAGGGGAGCCGGAGGGAAACCGAGUCUUAAUUGGGCG
rnacentral:rRNA from 2 species